GGAAUAGUUUUCAUUGGUAAGAUAAGACGAUUGCUAAUUGUUCGGGGAGACCCUUAGAGGUUCAAUUCCUCUCUAUUCCG